rnacentral:rRNA from 1 species
CAUGUAGCGACUGACGAUGACAUUGUCGAAGCCUCACAAGCAGUGCGACCUAGUGAAUUUGUUUGACUACUCAGGGGUGGCUACAAGUGUUUGGCACCUUAGUCCCCCUUGUGUCGGGAGGUGCCCCACCUUGUGUGCGUGGUCUCCUCCUGGCGUAAAAUAACAAAACCCCGGCGCCGAACGCGCCAAGGAAAUUGAAAUCGUUUGGUGCACCCCCGUCGGUUCCGGAGACGGUGCUCGUGCGGGUGGUGUUGCGACACGUGUAUCUGAAAGACUCUCGGCAACGGAUAUCUCGGCUCUUGCAUCGAUGAAGAACGUAGCGAAAUGCGAUACUUGGUGUGAAUUGCAGAAUCCCGUGAACCAUCGAGUCUUUGAACGCAAGUUGCGCCCGAAGCCAUUAGGCCGAGGGCACGCCUGCCUGGGUGUUGCACAUCGUUGCCCCUGUGCCUUGGCCACGUGCUAGGCACAAAGAGGGGUGAAUGUUGGCUUCCCGCGAGCACCGUCUCACGGUUGGUUGAAAACUGAGUCCGCGGUGGAUGGCACCGUGAUGGAUGGUGGCUGAGUUAAUUCUCGAGACCGAUCACGUGUGCCAUUCCCACUAGCUUUGUGACUCUGUGACCCAUGGGGGUCUGUUGGCCGCCUAAGACGGGAACCUCAGGUCAGGCGGGGCUACCCGCUGAGUUUAAGCAUAUCAAUAAGGGGAAAAGAAAAAA